CUGGUUGUAGUAUCCCGAACGCAGUGAGGGUUCUACUAGCCCUGAGGACUUCUAAAUCAUGUGGAAACUUCCUAAACAGUGUCUAAGCAUUUUAGAUCAUAGCAACCAUGAGUUUUUAGCCAAUCAGAUUUGAAUUUUCUUAUCUAAUCUUUGCUACAUGAUUUUCUAAGUGAAGUACAUGAUUUUCUAUUGAAGUACAUGAUUUUCUAAAUUGGAUAGAACAUUUCCUCUAACCAAUCAGAUUGUCGUAUUUAUGACAAACAUGAUCUAACUAUGUUUAACUGGCGUUAAACAGCAUGAAUCUGGGGAAUCCCCUUUUUCUUUUACAUCUAUUUUCUAUCUUUGUACAUCAGCUUAGCUAGCUCUCUAUUGCGUUGUUCCAGAAGGCUUUCACACUAGUCUGAAGCCAGAAGAGGCUCUCAUCUACCUCUAUGACGGUUAUAUCUGUUAAACUAUCGUAAGAGAGGCUCCUGGUCGCCAAGAGACAUUCAGUGGUAAGAAUGUAUCGAGGUUUGCGAAACGCAUGUAUGGAGGAUUGAAACUAAGAGUCAAGUUAAUGGCUGAUAGAAGAGUGUUCUUCUCCACUCUCAUGUACGGUAUCUUUGCCUUCAUUGGAAUUAUGAGUUUGGAAUUGAUCCCGUUGCUACUGGUGACCAAACACAAGGAUGCCGGGUGGUUAUUCUUUGGACGAUAAUGAGCUGGGUAUUGUUUUCAUGGUCUCAGCUGUCAUUCAACUGCUGUACCAUCUCUUUCUUUUUCCACUCGUGACUAAGUGGGCUGGAUUCAGGAACACGUUCAGACUAGGUAUAGUCACAUUUGGACUCAUGGCAUUCCUCCUCCCAUUCUCCAAUCGGAUCACAGGACUCAUCGUGCCUAGCAACAGCUCUGUCUAUGACAACAGCAUGUACAGUGGAAGAAAUUUAUUUGAAGAAGAGACUGAACACUUCUGUAACUACACUCAAAUAGUGAACUCUAGCUUUGAUUCUUCUGUCAAUGUCAACUCUGUUUUGAGGGUCCCUUUUCAGAUUUGGUUUGUGCUCAUCUCCAUCGUAACAGUGGCCACCAUUGGCAGAUUUGUUGAUUAUCUAGCUAUACUGUACGUGCAUUCGGUGUAUUGUCAGGAUGGUUGGUGUCAGCGUACUAAAUUGUGGCUUAGUCACAAGUGUUAAUUGUCUUGCUGUAUGUAUUUUAGACAGAGGCGACCCUACAACAGUUGUGCUACUGGUUACUAUUAUAGACGGGUAGUAAUUUUAGCGUUUUCAAAAUUUU